GACGUAGGGCGCGAGCGUUGUCCGGAUUUAUUGGGCGUAAAGAGCUCGUAGGCGGCUUGUCGCGUCGACUGUGAAACCUGCGGCUCAACCGUGUGGCUUGCAGUCGAUACGGGCAGGCUAGAGUUCGGUAGGGGGAGACUGGAAUUCCUGGUGUAGCGGUGAAAUGCGCAGAUAUCAGGAGGAACACCGGUGGCGAAGGCGGGUCUCUGGGCCGAUACUGACGCUGAGGAGCGAAAGCGUGGGAGCGAACAGG
rnacentral:rRNA from 1 species